rnacentral:rRNA from 1 species
UACGUAGGUGGCAAGCGUUGUCCGGAUUACUGGGCGUAAAGAGCGCGCAGGCGGUCGAUCAAGUCGAGUGUGAAAGCCCCGGCUCAACUGGGGAGGGUCAUUCGAUACUGAUCGACUCGAAGGCAGGAGAGGGUAGUGGAAUUCCUGGUGUAGCGGUGAAAUGCGCAGAUAUCAGGAGGAACACCGGUGGCGAAGGCGGAUCUCUGGGCCAUUACUGACGCUGAGGUGCGAAAGCGUGGGGAGCAAACAGG